AGGGUUUGAUCAUGGCUCAGAACGUACGCUGGCGGCACGCCUAACACAUGCAAGUCGAACGAAGUAGCAAUACUUAGUGGCAGACGGGUGAGUAACAUGUAGGUAUCUACCCUUUGGCCUGGAAUAACACGAGGAAACUUGUGCUAAUACCGGAUAAGUCUUUACGGAGAAAGCUUUAUGCACCAUUGGAUGAGCCUGCACUUGAUUAGUUUGUUGGUAGGGUAAUGGCCUACCAAGACUUUGAUCAAUAGCUGAUUUGAGAGGAUGAUCAGCCACAUUGGGACUGAGACACGGCCCAAACUCCUACGGGAGGCAGCAGUGGGGAAUCUUGCACAAUGGAGGAAACUCUGAUGCAGCGAUGCCGCGUGAGUGAAGAAGGCCCUUGGGUUGUAAAGCUCUUUCGUCGGGGAAGAAAAUGACUGUACCCGAAUAAGAAGGUCCGGCUAACUUCGUGCCAGCAGCCGCGGUAAUACGAAGGGACCUAGCGUAGUUCGGAAUUACUGGGCUUAAAGAGUUCGUAGGUGGUUGAAAAAGUUGGUGGUGAAAUCCCAGAGCUUAACUCUGGAACUGCCAUCAAAACUUUUCAGCUAGAGUUUGAUAGAGGAAAGCAGAAUUUCUAGUGUAGAGGUGAAAUUCGUAGAUAUUAGAAAGAAUACCAAUUGCGAAGGCAGCUUUCUGGAUCAUUACUGACACUGAGGAACGAAAGCAUGGGUAGCGAAGAGGAUUAGAUACCCUCGUAGUCCAUGCCGUAAACGAUGUGUGUUAGACGUUGGAAAUUUAUUUUCAGUGUCGCAGCGAAAGCGAUAAACACACCGCCUGGGGAGUACGACCGCAAGGUUAAAACUCAAAUGAAUUGACGGGGACCCGCACAAGUAGUGGAGCAUGUGGUUUAAUUCGAAGAUACGCGCAGAACCUUACCAACACUUGACAUGUUCGUCGCGACUUUAAGAGAUUAAAGUUUUCGGUUCGGCCGGACGAAACACAGGUGCUGCAUGGCUGUCGUCAGCUCGUGUCGUGAGAUGUUGGGUUAAGUCCCGCAACGAGCGCAACCCUCACUUUUAGUUGCCAUCAUUUAGUUGGGCACUCUGAAAGAACUGCCAGUGAUAAGCUGGAGGAAGGUGGGGAUGACGUCAAGUCCUCAUGGCCCUUACGUGUUGGGCUACACACGUGCUACAAUGGUAUCUACAACAGGAAGCAAAACGGCGACGUUAAGCAAAUCCUUAAAAGAUACCUCAGUUCGGAUUGUACUCUGCAACUCGAGUACAUGAAGCUGGAAUUACUAGUAAUCGUGGAUCAGCGUGCCACGGUGAAUGCGUUCCCGGGUCUUGUACACACCGCCCGUCACACCAUGGGAGUUGGUUCUACCUUAAGGCAAGGUUUAAAACCCUUGACCACGGUAUAGUCAGCGACUGGGGUGAAGUCAUAACAAGGUAGCCGUA
rnacentral:rRNA from 1 species